AUGGCUAAAGGUGACCUCAGAAACCCGAAAGGCAAAAUGUCUGCUAAUGUCUUCUUUGUGAAGACAUGCAGAGAAGAACAUAAGAAGUUGAAACCAGAUGGCCCUGUCAGUUUUUUAAGAAUUUUCAAAAGUUAUCUGAGAGGUGAAAGACAGUUUGGAAAAGAGAAGAUAAAUUUGAUAAAAUCUCAAAGGUGGGUAAAGGAUGCUGACUGGGAAAUGAAAGAUUAUGAUCCAGCUAAGGGACACAAGAAGAAAAAGGUCCAUAAGGCCUGCUAAAGCCCAGCAUCUGAAUUCUUCCUGUUCUGUUCAGAAUUCUACCCCAAGAUCAAAUCCCCAAAACCUGGCGUCUCUGUUGCAGAUGUGACCAAAAACUGCUGGGUGAGAUGUGGGAUGUUUAAGUGACAGUGAAAAGCAGUCUUGCAUCACUAAGGCGGUGAAGCUGAAGGAGAAGUAUGAGAAGGAUGUUGCCGACUUUAAGUCUAAAGGAAAGUUUGGUGGCUCAAAAGACCCCACUCACCGUUACCUGGAAAAAGGUAGAAGAAGACAAAGAAGACAA
rnacentral:lncRNA from 10 species